UUCACUUUAAUUGUCUACUUCAUGAAAAUUGAUAUUGGAAUUUAGUAGUAAUGGUUCUAAUAAUGGUAAGAAUGUCUACUAUUAAUGAAGAAACCCACCUAGAGGCAAAAAAAAACUUCAUGGAAAUUAAAAUGGCUAAUUUGACGUGUCAAAUGUAGACUAGUACUGGUGAAGCUGAUCUGCAAUUGUGGAUCCGAACUGAUAUCUUGACUGUUCUCGCUUAUCAUGUUCCUUGUGCAGUGUUUUUCUUGAUUUUAAGACUCGUGAAUAGAAUAUUUGACCUUUUGCACUUCACCGUAUAUAUUUAACGUGAUUACACUAGUAACUUCUUAUAGAAAGGAAUAGAAUAUUGGCUUGCUAUAUACUUUCUUCGAUUGAAUCUACUGACCUAAAAUUAUUAUUUUUAUUAUUUUUUAAUUUGUACAUCAAUUCUUACUUUUAUCUCUUCUAGACAAGGCCGGUCUGUUUCUGCUUGAAUUUUGCUGAGGGGGAGAUAUAUUUUGAGAAAUGUUCAAGUUCUGUUCUAGCAAGUUUGAUUAGUUCAAAGUUAACUUACAGAGAACUUGGUUUGUAGAAAACUACAGGUCUAGUGUGCCAAUUUUAUGAAUUCACUAUUAUUUUUUCAGGAUGUUUAUUUGGUAUGUAGUAAGUUGCAGGAAAAGGCAAGAUGUGCUGGGAAUUC
rnacentral:lncRNA from 1 species